UCGUUAACACAAUUCCUCAGACAUGAGUAUAAUGAAAUACAAUAUUUUCUCAUUUUUCCCUUGAAAACACCUGCUUUUAAAAUAUUAGUUACCAUAUUUUAAGGGACACAUCACACUUGAAAAUGGCGUUAUAGCGUCAUUAUCAGAUAUCAUCAUCUGCGUGAUAUAGCAAAUGUUAAUGUUAGCACUAUUUCAGUUGUCCGUGCUUUCCAGUCACAUUGGUAUGCUAUCAUGACCCUGAUUCAGAUGUGUAACGGAGUGGAUGUCAUCUUGUUAUCUGAGCCAUUACACUGCAUGACAUUUGGUGUGUGUAUUUUUGUGGAUCAUUUGAAAACAUGUUGGACCCUGUAGCAUUUGUUCACUUUGCUUGCCCUGUGAGCAAUGUGCUUUCACUCCAGAUGUUCACAACGCCCAUUGUGAAUAUUCCAAAUCCAACACCGCAGUCCAGUUUGUCAGAUCUUGCUCAUACACUCUGUCCCGGCUGAUGAGUGAAAGGACCCAAACACGUGUCCGGGUAGCAGUGUGCCAUCUGGACAUAGCAGCAGUUAAAAUAACAAUACCAGCACAGGGAGUUGAACAGGGUCACGAUGGAAAUGUGCCAUGGUGUAACCUGAGCGUCUUUAUUGGCAAAGUAGUUAUGAGGCUUAUUGAACACUGUAGAGAGAGGAGUGUAGCAGGGGGUCUUGGUGCAGAGCUAUGUUUAGCCUGGAGGGUAUUUUUAGCUGGCUGGAUAACAUUGUUCCACUGACACAUUGCUUUUCCACUCAACCGGACUAAAAACUCUACUGGGAACUCAACACACAGGACUGUUGAUGUGUAAGCUAGGCUUUUUUAAAAAAAAUUUUAAACACAGGUUGGCAGAUGAAGUAUUUGGUUAAUUUUCUUAUUGACCAGACAAUGGUGAUUAUACAGCCCAUUCAUUUUAGAAUGCUUGUGUGGAUAUUUUAAAUAUUGGUCUGACCAUUAAAAAUGCGGUUGUCCAUAAACUUCAGAGUGAUGCCGUCUCUGGAAAAAUUACAGUUGAUGUUUUAAAUGAUGAUCAAGGCAAAUAGGCAGCCACUAGUUGUUUUUUUUUGUUGUUGUUUUUGGGUUUUUUUUGCAUCCUUUGCGGUACGUCGAUAUGAUUAACUUGACUCACGUUCAUAAAUAAAGAUUCUCUACAAAAGCUGCACUAAACUCUUUAAUAGACCAAUGAACUAUUAAAACUCUUUAAUUCCUUAGGUAGCCUAAGGAAUUAUUAUUAUUAUUAUUUUUGUUUGUUUGUCUGCCCCACUGUAAAAGAAGAAACCAGUGUGAACACACACUCACAAAUACACUGUUUUUAUUUUUCUUCCUUUCUUUCUUUAUUAAUAAGUCACAGCCCUGAUGAAUGCUUGAUUCUGGUUGGACAGAAGGUAUGGAUUAAUUUUGUAUAAUGACAAUAUUCCAGCUGCAAGGUUUAUAUUAAUGUACUCAUUCUAGUAAGUUAUCAUUUCUAUAGUAACAGUUUAGAGUGUCUUGUAUGGUAGAUGCUUCAUAUAAAUGGGUUAAACAAUGUGUAUAUUUGUCGAUACACUGAAGCUUUCUAUAAAGAGGAGGCUUAUUAACAUUUAUGGAAGGAGUCUCCAAUGUCAGUGCUUUGUAACGCUCAAAGGAAGACGCUCUUGACAGGAGUUUGUGGUUUCUCGUAACAAGUGGUAUUUUUUUGUCUUAUUAAUUUCAAGAAAGAGAUAAAAUAGAAGGGUGAGGGAAUGACUGUUUAUAGUUGCUAUAAGGUAAAUAUAAAUGGAUAAAAAGUAUUGUCAUUCUUUAUCAAAAAUAUUUUAUUCAUUGUCAAAUUGCUGUAGUAUAUGAUGAAUAAAACAAAGUGUUAUAAGAAAAUAAUCAACUUUGGGGUAGUUAAGGCAUCACACCACCACAUUGUUAUUAGUUUCCUAUAACAGCAUUUCCUGUCAUGUUUUAUUCCUUACUUAUUUGUUAUUUAUUUUUAUUUUUAGAUGUUAGGAAUUACUUUAAAGGAGCUACUGGUGUUACUCUAGGAGCCAACAGUGGCUCUCUUUACAUCCUGGCACUUAAACUUACAAAUGUAUGUGUAGAACCUUAACAACUGCGCUAUUAUUGCCAGCCUUUUAGACUCAAAUGCUUACAGUUACAGUAAAACAAAUUUUUUUUUUUUUUUUUUUUAAUGCAUUGACUGUCAGUGGAUGCUGCCGUGCUUGUGGUGUAUGUCUGCGUAACCCCAAGGUCUCAUGAUGGCCAGAUGGCCUGCUAUAAGCAGCUUCAGGGUGCUAAAUAUAGUACUUCUCUAACCCCUCCACCUUCCUCCCUUUACCUCCAUGUGGCUUGUGUAUAUACAGUCUUGUGAAAAAAUAAGUACACCCCAUGGAAAUUGUUGGCUUUUUUGACAUAUUUGGACUUCCAAAGUGGGUUCUAAUCACUGGUACCCAAUGUUGAACACCUGACUCUUAUUGGAUUCUAAAUGGAUUUGAAGGUGUGAUAAAUGUAGGAUGUACUUACUUUUUCCUGGGUUUUUUUUGUUUUGUUUUUUUUUUUUGUUAAUUUAAAUUGUGAAAAUUGCUACAAAAUGUCCAUUUUAUGUGUCAUUUGAUAGUGUAUCACCUUUUAUUAAUAGGCACGGUUUCAAUGAGGAUCAAAUGUUUGCUUGUCCAAAUAUGUCAAAAAAAAAAAAAAAAGCAGCAAUUUCCAUAGGGUGUACUUAUUUUAUUUAUAAAAAAAAUUUUCAUGGAUACAUAUAAACAUGCGCACACAAUUGCAAUCGAAAAUAUUAUUCAAGCACUUAAAGGGUUUUAUGGUGAUGUGUAAACAAUUGAAUGAAAAUAUACAAGAAAUCUCAGUAAACAAAUAAAGAAUAUUUAUUGAUAAGUUCACAAAAUUUUGAGUUGAAAAUAAAAAUCCAUUGUUUCCCCUGCCUUGUGCCCUGAGUUCCCUGGGAUAGGCUCCAGGUUCCCUCGCGACCCUGUGAAGGAUAAUCGGUAUGGAAUAUUGAUGGAUGGAUGAAAAACAUCCCAUUCUCUGGACAAAUGUCCACACCCACUAUUAUUCAAACACCAACCUCAGUACUUGGUAAAGCAUCCUUUUGCCUUGAUAACCUCUAAAAAGCGAUUUUGGUAUGUGUUAACAAGCUUCUGACACAUUUCUCACAGCAUCUUUGCCCUCUCUUCUCGUACAAAGGCUUCCAGCUCAUUGAGGUUUGAUGGCUUCUAUGCUGCAACUGCUUCCUUUAAAUCAAUAUUUUCUAUGGGAUUUAAAUCUGGAGAAUGAGAAGGUCACUCCAGGACUGAUUCCUUAACCAAGCUUUGGUUGACUUGGAAGUGUGCUUGGGAUCAUUGUCUUGCUGGAGAAUCCAAUUAUCACCAAGGUUCAAGUUCACCACACAGAAAAACGUCCCCACAUCAUCACUGACCCACCUCUCUGCUUGACCGUGGGGAUAGUUUUCUGGUCAUAAGCCUUACCUUUCAUGUGCAAGACAAACCACUGAACCAUAUGGCCAAACAGUUCCAAUUUUGUUUUGUCACUCCGUAUAUCUGUGUCCUAGAACUUUGCAGGCCUUUCCAAAUUCCUUCUGUCAUAUUCCAGUCGACCCCUCUUGUGCUUCUUAGUCAAGAGUGGUGUGCGUCAUGGGGUCCUGCCAUGAAGUCCUUGUUGUUAAGUGAUCAUCUUAUGGUUGCCACUGACACAUUUGUCCCAGCCUUCAUCAGGUCACCCUGUUAAUCUUUUGCAGUAAAACAAGGUUUUUUCUUCAUUAUCCUGAUGAGAUGGCUAAUUUUGGGCUUCCUCCCACAGCCAGGCAGGUUUGCUGCUGUGCCAUAAGUUUUGAACUUCCAUACAGUGCUCCCAAUGGUGUUUCUAAGAAUGUCUUGGAAAUCUUCAUGUACCCAUUGCCCUUUUAGUGCAGUGAAAUGAUCUCCUCUCUCAGCUUUUGUGACAGCUCGUUUGUCUUCACCAUGGUUGCAACACACCUUUGUUAUGGGUACACACAUGGGUUAAUCAUGUUUUAACCCUACAGACUAGCAGCAGGUUUUAAAAUUAGUAAUAUUACAUAGGGGUUGAAUAAUUGUGACAUGACAAAAUAUCCUGCUAAACACACACACACACUCAUUGUCCACUUUAAUAGGAACACCUGUACACCUGCUCAUUUAUGCAGUUAUCAAUUAUGUGUAAACUCUAGAGCCGUAUGUGAAAUUCCCAGGAGAUGAGCAGUUUCUGAAAUACUCAACCCAGCCUAUCUGGCAGCAUGGUAAAAACAUCGAGAUCACAUUUUUGUUUGAUGUGAACUGAAGCUUUUGACCGGUAUCUGAUGCCAUGUAUCCUAACAAAAUGUCCAGGUCCUCUGGCAGAAAAACAGCCCCAAAACAUUUAAGAGCCACCACCAUAUUUAACUGUGGGCAUGAGGUACUUUUUCCAUAUGGCUACCUCUCUGUGUGCUCCAAAACCACCUCUGGUGUUUAUUGCCAAAAAGCUCUAUUUUGGUUUCAUCUGACCAUAGAACCCGAUCCCAUUUGAAGUUCCAGUAGUGUCUGGCAAACUGAAGACGCUUGAGUUUGUUUUUGGAUGAAAGUAGAGGCUUUUUUCUUGAAACCCUUCCAAACAACUUGUGGUGAUGUAGGUGAUUUCGGAUUGUAGUUUUGGAGACUUUCUGAACUUCUGCAAUUCUCCAGCUAUGAUCCUUGGAUGUUUUUUGGCCACUUGAACCAUCCUCUUCACAGUGCGUUACGACAGUAUACACACAUGUCCUCUUCCAGGUUGAUUCAUAACAUUUCCAGUUGACUGGAGCUUCUUAAUUAUUGCCCUGAUGCUUGUGCUAUUUUCUUAUAGCCUCUUCCCAUUUUGUGAAGCUCAACAACCUUUUGCCGCACAUCACAGCUAUAUUCCUUGGUCUUACCCGUUGUUAUGAAUGACUAAGGGAAUUUGGCCUAUGUGUUACCUCAUAUUUAUACCCCUGUGAAACAGGAAGUAAUGGAUGAACUUCCUAUUUCACAGUGGUAUAAAUUUCCUGUUCCUAGUCACCCAGGUGUAAUUAAAAAAAAAUUAUAAUUUCAAUGGGAAUAUUCUUCAACUAUAUUUUUCUCCUAUGAAUUCAUAGGGGUGCCAAUAAUUGUUGCACAACUAUGUUUAACAAAGAUUUGUUUUAUUAACCUGUGUUUUGUUUUGCAAUUGUUUGAUAUUUAUGAGAGUAUUUUGUGAAUUUUUUAACAAAAGAUCAUAAGGUGCCAAAUAUUAGAGUGUGUGUGUGUGUGUGUGUGUGUGUGUGUGUGUGUGUGUGUGCUUUAUUUUUAUUCCCACGUUUUAGAAUAAUAAUAAAGUCAUCAAAACUCUGGACUAACACAAAUGGAACUAUGGGAAUUAUGUUGUGAUAAAAAAUUCAAAAUAAAUCGAAUAAUUUAAUAUUUUUGCGUCUUCAAAGUAAACCCCCCUUUUGCCUAGAAUUUCCAGAAAUGUAUUCCUGGCAUUUUCUUGAGGAACAAGAAAAAAGCUGGACCACUUAUUCGCUGUUUUUCGGAAUAUUUUGCUCAGAGUCGUCCGUUUUUUAAAAAAAAAAAAAAAAAAAAAAGGUUUAUUUGUAAAUAAAAUGUUAGUUUUCUAAUGAAUGAAAUGAAUAUGUUGGCACAAUUAUAUUUUUGUCAACACCAAUUUCAAACAUUUAAUCAUACACCUUCAUGACAAUCAUGAGAAACAUUACAGUCAAGUGUCUCCAAACUUUUGACUGGUAGUGUGACCUGUGACGUGCUUUAUUUUUUUUAUUUUUGAGCUUCUGGUGUCUAAAGCCCAAGAGUCUGUAAAGAAUCAGUCUGGUUUUAUAGGUCCUGCUCCAUAGAGAUAAUACAUUUUGUUAGCAUUGAUAGUUUGUGCGCGCGCGCGUGUGUGUGCGUGCGCGCGUGUGCACAUGUUCGUGUGUGUGUGUGUGUGUGUGUAUCAUUAAUGGAUUCAUGUGUUUCUGUGGCUGUGUGUAGAGCUUCACUAUCCUCACACGCAUACCUUGGCAUCAUCCCAAGUAAUCAGCUUUCAUACACCGAAUGCACCAGUGCUCUCAAGUAUCAUCCGACAUGCUUUAGGGAAUUUUCCUGUAGCACAUUAUUACAUUCAGGCGUCCAGCCUGUUCCAGAACUUAUUUCAGACAGAAUUGGGAGUAUCAUGUUGCACUCUUCAUGGCCUUUCCACACUGAUUUCCUACAUAACAUACUUACCCAACAAGCAUGAAAAUAGUGUAUGAUCUGAUGUGGUACACUACAUUAUGAAUCACACAUCAUAAGACAUGAGGUAAGGUCACAUCUGAGGCUUGCUGGUGUUUUAAUUCUUAGAACCCCCUCUUUCUCUCGUUUCCUAAACUGAAUGCACCCUUUAUUUUUGGGACUUCUGACUCAUCGUCCUCGGUCCAGCAAAAAGCUUCUGGGUGUGAGAAGAAACUUGAUGCUAUGACAUGGCACGGCAGAAAAUGGCCAUGAACUCAACUCUGCAGAUUGGCACACGUAGACAGCUCACAAAUUAGGAACGCUUUAAAAAUAUACUCCUGCAAGCAGAAGAUGGCAGUGCCAAUCUCUCAUGGGGCACGAUUAGCCCCUAGCUCUCUUUUACAUGUUGAUAGUUUUACAGCAGGGUGACCUUUCCCGAAGAGCUGAUGCAGCUUUGCCACGACUAGUUGGAGGAAAACAGAUCCUCUUCGCUGCAAAAUGCCAGAAUAAUCCUCAAUGACAGCCACUAAUUUUGCAAAGACUGUGGCCCUCUCAGCACUCAGCAUGCUUCUUAUAUACACAUACAGGCACCUGUUCAAACACACUGCUCCCUUCUCUUCCAUGCACACUAGGGGUGUUAUUAUUUCUACACUGUACUAGGUCUCUUUCAAAUGUCCAUAACUUGGUUCUUGCUUUAUGAUGCAAGCGAUUUUUAAUAAACAGAAAACACAAAACGAUUUCACAUUCAUUUUAUAUUUUGUACCCUAAUCACCAUUUUGUAAUUUUGUUAUAACACAGCUGUCAUUUUACUCAUGCUAAUGAUACUGGUCGAUGCUAACAGACAGUCCUUUCUCUAACUCUGUACCUGAGACAAAUGCUCACAGGAACUGUAAAUAGGUAGGCCAGUUGUGCUGUCUUGCAGUCCUCAGACACAGAUGGCUGUGGCAGCUUUAGGAUCUGAAUCUAUGUCCCAGAGAUGUUCUAUGUUCAGAAUCUGAUUUUUCUUCCAUUUAAACUGCAGUUGAAAAUCUCACUUGCACUUUAAAGAAGAACUAUUUUUUAAAAGUGUACUGCUUACAGAUUCAUAGCAUUAAUUUGGCAAAAUUUGGCAGUCACAUCAUACAUAUUGUAGUUUGUCUGCCAGUCUUAGGGUCAGUCUUGUUGCUCUGGUGGAAUGUAUUCAGUGCUACUCUUGUUUUAUAAUAACCUAGUGUGACGUUUGUGAACUUGACCUGUGCAUUGCUGGAGCAGGGUAUUUAAUGUUUGAGCAUAUCAUUCCCAUGCUUGGCCUCUGUGUAAUUCAUAUACUCAGUUCCCCUGCUACUUCCAAUGUUCUCACUCACCAUUGUCUCUGUUCAAUAAGAUAUAAAUACUGACACCCUUGUUUGUGUUUUGGUGUGCUUGGCAGCAUUGCUGGUGUGUUUUGAGCUCAUUAAGAGCCCUGUGAUGUAGACUCUGUGUUUUCAGCUCAUUAGGAGCCCUGAAGCAGUGCAUGAUCAUGCCAUAGUGUACAAGACACCCUGUUAGGACUAAGAUCCAAUAAACGAACUCCGAUCCUGAGAACAUUUCCAACGUCUUUGUAGAGCAGCUGUGGUUUUGAAAUGUACAGAAGUGCUAAAUCACUGUUUUGGUGCGGCAUCAUUAACAGUAUGAUUAGGUGCGUUCUCUCCCUUAAGUUAUAUUUGUUCUUUAAAGCACUUAUUAACACCACAAGGGCUCUUAGCCACAGGAGUGCAUACUCUGAAAGCCCCUGCUCUUUGAACACUA